UACUCUCACCUCUGCCAACACGCACACAUUUUAAAGAGAGACCAGACCAUCCAUGAGGAGCUUGCUAAGAAGUAUCCAAACUGGUCCUGCAACUCCUAGUCUUGGCACAUCACCCACCUCCAGCCUAGAUCUAAGAAAAGGCUAAAGAUUACUCAAAGAGUCAAGGAUUUCUUUAAUGAGAAAGAACAUACAGGCCACCCCUGUGGCUCCAUGAAACUGUUUCUUGGGAGUGGCAUUCACUUCCAGAAUUUGUUGGAGCCAGGGCUGGAAUGUUUCCUUGGGGUCCAGGGUGACCUGACACCUUGGGAGGUACCCAGGCUUGUCUUGAAAGUACCCCACCCAACAUUACUGCCUGCUCAGGAGAGGCGACCUCAGCAGAAAGUGCCUCUGUGGGUUGUACCUUCAAGCAGGCGCUGAGGAAUUUUUGUAGAAAGUUAGCUGGAGAGGGCAUCACCCAUGUUGCCUGGAUCAGAGAAUGGGGCAGCGCUGGGGAUCCCCAGCAGGGAGGUCUUCAAAGAACCCACUAACGGCUGCUUGAGGGAAAGGGAAAGAGCCCGCCUGAGACAACUGCUAAAUAACAGCCCCUCAAAGAUGUCUAUGUCCCAAUGCCUGGAACCUGUGAAUGUGUUACGAUAAUGGUGAAAGGGACUUUGCAGAUGUGAUUAAGUUAAAGAUUUUGAGAUGAGGGAUUAUCCUGGAUCAUCCAGGUGGGUCCAAUGGAAUCCCAAAGGCUCUUAUAAGAGAGAAGACGUGAAGAUGGAAGUAGAAGUCAGAGAGGAGAGAAGAUGCUAUGCUGCUGGCGUUGAAGAUGGAGGAGGGGCCGUGUGUCAAGGAGUGCAGGUGGCUUCUGAAAGCUGAAAAAGGCAAGGAAAGGGAUUCUCCUCUAGAGGCUCCUGAAGGAAUGCAGCCCUGCCAACGCAUUUUAGACUUCUGACCUCCAGAACUGAAUGAGGACCGGACACCACAGUGAGGACAGAAAUUCCAGAAGGGACUUCAAGAAUAAGGAGGACCAUGUGAGAACCAGAUGAUCUUUCGGGGCCUGGCCAUCUCUUGAGACUGGGCCUGAGCGGCUUUGGUGAACCAGUCCCAGAUCCUACCAACAAAAGGGAAAAUAUGGUGAGGUUGCCGAGUAAUGUGCCUGGAGUUUUCUGGACAGGCCCUGUGAAAAUUUCCCAAAGCAGGGAUCUUGCCAGAAUUCCACAUGACAACAAAGGCAUUGGCUGCAGGGAACUGCUUAGAACAUUCCUCUCCACCCGUUUGCUAGACCUAAGCAGAUGUGAAUGGCUUCUGUCUGACUCACCCUUAGCCUGACCUAUUUGUGAAAUACUUUCUUUACAAAAAGCUGGAGAUAAGUACAGAGAAUUAUACAUUUAUAAUCCUAGUAUAGACAGGAUUGUCUAACCCUCUCAUUUUAGCUGCUCCCUGCCCCGCCAAUGGUAGGUGAGUGCUGACCAAAGGUUGGCGAGUGUCUAAUGGCCUAACCUAUUUGCUCCACCAGUAAUUGCCAGGAAGGUGGGUGGGGUAGGAGAUGGGGUGUCGGGGACAGGCGUGCAAAGUGCCAGAGCAGCAGGCUGGCGGAGGCUGUGAGGACCCC
ensembl:lncRNA